rnacentral:rRNA from 1 species
UACGUAGGGGGCAAGCGUUGUCCGGAUUUAUUGGGCGUAAAGGGCGCGUAGGCUGCGGGGUAAGUCGGGUGUGAAAUCUCAGAGCUCAACUCUGAAACUGCACUCGAUACUGCUUUGCUUGAGGACUGGAGAGGAGAUUGGAAUUCACGGUGUAGCAGUGAAAUGCGUAGAUAUCGUGAGGAAGACCAGUGGCGAAGGCGGAUCUCUGGACAGUUCCUGACGCUGAGGCACGAAGGUCAGGGGAGCAAACGGG